CCGACCUUAGCUCAGUUGGAAGAGCACAAGACUGUAAUGGGAAAUAUUGAUCUUGGGGUCGCCUGUUCGAACCAGGCAGGUCGGA
rnacentral:tRNA from 1 species